UGGGGAAUAUUGCACAAUGGGCGCAAGCCUGAUGCAGCAACGCCGCGUGAGGGAUGACGGCCUUCGGGUUGUAAACCUCUUUUAGUAGGGAAGAAGCGAAAGUGACGGUACCUGCAGAAAAAGCACCGGCUAACUACGUGCCAGCAGCCGCGGUAAUACGUAGGGUGCGAGCGUUGUCCGGAAUUAUUGGGCGUAAAGAGCUCGUAGGCGGUCUGUCGCGUCUGCUGUGAAAACCCGAGGCUCAGCCUCGGGCCUGCAGUGGGUACGGGCAGACUAGAGUGCGGUAGGGGAGAAUGGAAUUCCUGGUGUAGCGGUGGAAUGCGCAGAUAUCAGGAGGAACACCGAUGGCGAAGGCAGUUCUCUGGGCCGUAACUGACGCUGAGGAGCGAAAGCGUGGGGAGCGAACAGGAUUAGAUACCCUGGUAGUCCACGCCGUAAACGUUGGGCGCUAGAUGUGGGGACCAUUCCACGGUUUCCGUGUCGCAGCUAACGCAUUAAGCGCCCCGCCUGGGGAGUACGGCCGCAAGGCUAAAACUUAAAUGAAUUGACGGGGUCAUAGCUGUUUCCU
rnacentral:rRNA from 1 species